rnacentral:lncRNA from 1 species
CCUAAAAUUCUAUUUUUGGGAUCUAGAGAAAAUUCAUCCUAGGAACUAAAUAAAAAUGUUUUCUAAGAAAAGAUGGGAGAAAAGAAUCAUCAUAAGACUAGAGGUACUUGUUGAAUAAACUAUAUAGAUAAAAUACUUGUAAAGGAAUAUAUCCAACCUAAAGUAAUGUUUAUAUUGAACCUUACUUUUCACAAAAUAUAAGUAUAUAUAUAAUGAAUAUUUUUGUUCUUCUAAACUUCCUAGCUUUGAUCACACAUUCAGGAUUAUUUGUGUAAUCACAUAUGUGAAAAAAAUACAUAGCUAGAAAUACUUGUAAAAUAGAAUAGUAAAUAUAUAUAUAUAUAUACAAAUAUAAUAACCUCUCAUGCUGGUUCUUAUGAUUGUGCAUUUAAUUAAGUUUGAGAUCCAAAACCAAAUUUGAGUGUGGAUUUGAAAAUUAAAAAUGAGAAAUAGAAAUGAAUAAAAGAAAAAAAAAAGAAAACAAUUUUUCCUCCUACUGGGCCGAAUUCCCUCCCCCUCAGCCCAUCCCUCUCACCGCGCGGCCCACUUCACUCUCACCCGCGCGCACCACGCAGCCCAGCUCCUACGCUCGGCGCCGACAUGUGGGCCGAUAGCGUCAGUGGCUGCUACCGUUUUUUUUUUCUCCUCCGUGUGGCUUACCGGCUGGGUGGCUGCCGUGUGGGCCCAUCGCGGCGGUCGUCUUCCUCAAGUCCGAAACCAGGAUAGCUUGGGGGUUGUUAUGAACCACCACCGGGGAUCACGGGACCCCGAUCCAUCUCGGCGUCCACCCGACCUUCUAUAAAACGGAAGACCGCGACCCUCUUGCCCAUCCCAUCGGCGCCCCGCGAUCGGUGUUGGGGCAUCCAUCCCUGAUUGCACCGCCAUGGACCCAACCACAUCCGCCAUCGACAAACUCCGGGUCCUCGACCAUACUAAGCCUCGAUGGGUGCCAAUGGUGAUUCGGUCGGGCACCUAGUAUCUGUGCGCGGAAUCUUCAAGCCAAAAGAAGGACUAAAGUUAUGAGGAUUACUCGCCGGAGUUCGGAUUCGCGGGCAAACCGCCGUGUGCUGCGGCUAGCUUUCCUCUCUGCCUUCUGUCAAUGGUAGGUACCUCCCUCGAGUUCGCAAUCAGCCUAUAUACGUGUAGCGUCUGUAGGAAGGGGGAUUGGGGCAUCUAUGCGCCGGAACAUCACUCGCCGGAGGCUCUCCGCCGCGCGACUCUGGUGCGCCGCCGCCGCGAUCCACUGGGGAAGGAAGAAGGCUCGUGGGCCGUUCGAUCCUUCUCGGGCGGCUGCGAUGGCGCCCAGCGUACCGUUUAGGGUUGUAUGUUCCGCGACCGUUGGAUCGUCAACGCUGGGGCACGAUCGGAUCAAGCUCAUUUAAAAUCGUCACCGUUGGUAGUUGAUCCGAUGGACUAGAUUGCAUACCGGUUCGAGAUAAAAUCAAUCUAAUCCCACGCGUCCAUCCGUGAUCGCACGGCCAGAGUUAGUCCAUACCCCUUCGCGGGUACUUUUUGUUAAAGAGCCCCUGUCCUUUUGUCAAAUAAACCCGCCAUCCUCGGCAACAGUAAUCUGAGUCUAGGAACGUUUUACAGGUUAGACCCCGAGCUUUUUAUUAUUUGGCCCGCUGUCCAGAGCUCAGAGAAAUCAAAUAAACAAGUUUAGAAAUUGAUUUUGUAUACAAAAAUAAUCCUAGGAACUUAUAUAAUUCAUAUAAAAUCCAUUUUAACUCCAAAUUAAUCCAUUCCACUUUCUAAAAUUUUAUAAUUUUAUUCUCUACCACUUAGUGUCUCUGUUUUGACAUGAAAACAGUUAGAAAAUUAAUUUCUCAUCUAACCCUAUUUUAAUCACAUUAAACCUUAGGAAAUUCAUAACUUAAAAUCUAUAACUCCAAAAAUUAUGAUUCCUGUUCCUAGGAUUCUAUUUUAAUAUGUAGAUUAUUACUGUGUAUUUUGUUUAUAUGUUUGAUGUGAUGUUCAUUUUGCCUAUACCAUGUUUGUCUGUAUUGCUACGUUUAGCAGUGAGGACACGUGUCAUCUGAAGAGCAAGUUGGUACCUGGAAUCUCAAGUCCCAGGCAAGUUGUGCCCUUGAUCACUUCUUUUACCUACUCAUGUUCGGAUUAAUCAUAAUGAUCUGCAUAGGUUAAUUUUGAUGGGACCCAAUAGGUCACCCUAGUUUGUUCAUCCUGAAUACCUUGUUUACCCCUGGAUCACUUGGGUAGUUCUGCUACUGCUUUAUAUGGUUUUGGGUUAAUAUUUCAUUACAUCUAUGUUCCAAUUAUGUUGUUAUUCUAUUUAUGUUCAUGACAAGAUCAUUAAAUGUUAAUUGGAACAUAGAGCUUAACUUGAGAACCACGUGCCACCACAAGGGUUUAAUGGGACGCCCUUGGCUGACUAAUUAGGAAAGCUAGUGGAGGACUACCUUACCCGAAAGGGGCAAGGGCAGUAGGGGAGUGGUCAGUGUAGGGAGGCCCUCGGGAGGAUUUUGCUGUGAUGGCGGUCCUGCAAGGGAUUCCUGGGAAGGCCCUCGGGAGGAUUUUGCUGUGAUGGCGGUCCUGCAAGGGAUUCCUGGGGAGGCCCUCGGGAGGAUUUUUGCUGUGAUGGCGGUCCUGCAAGGGAUUCCUGCAUUGGAGCUUCCUAUAAACUGUAGCGGGUUUUCUGAAGCUAGUGGAACUUUGUAAAGGCCUCGUAGUGUUACUCUGCCUCGCCUCCUCGGUAGAGGUGUAUGGGAAGUCGCGAUCUCUUGGCAGAUGGGUAACAUGACUUGUGGGUAAAGGGUACCACCUCUGCAGAGUGUAAAACUGGUAUACUAGCCGAGCUCACGGUCAUGAGCAGCUCAGGACUCUCUGAUGAUUAAAUUAUGGAACUUAAACUCAAUUUGUCAUAUGCAUUGCAUCGCAGGUGAAGUUGUUACUUUUUGUUCUACUACUUAAUUGGGUUGGUAUUUACUUAUACUUAGUAACUGCUAAUAAAAUUUUGACCAACUUUAAAAGCAAUGCUCAGCUCUAACCAUUCUCUUUGGUAAGCCUUACACUUCACGUGAGCUCCCACCUUUGGCGAGUUCAUGCACAUUAUUCCCCACAACUUGUUGAGCGAUGAACGUAUGUGAGCUCACUCUUGCUGUCUCACACCCCCCCACAGGUCAAGAACAGGUACCGCAGGAUGAGGCGCAAGGAGGAUGCUGCGAUGAGUUCGUGAGAGAUCUAGGCUGUCGUCUCCCAGUCAACUUUAGGUUGCUGGACCGUUGUCUCCUUAUAAUGUAAUUAUUUAUUUUGUAUAGAACUCCCAUUAUAUAGUAAAGUUGUGACAUUCGAUCCUGUGCCAUGAUUCAUCAUAUGUGUGAGACUUGGUCCCAGCACACCUGGUGAUUAUGUUUACGCCCGGGCUUUGGACCCCUAAAACCCGGGUGUUACAGAAGUGGUAUCAGAGGAAUGUUGACUGUAGGACGAAACCUAGAUAGAACUGGACAACCAAUACUUACUUACCUUUGCUACUCUGAUUCUUUUCUAAACUUAUCUUAAUCUUUUCUCAUCUAUCUCCGCUUUACUCUGAUUAUUCUUACCUCUUCUUUCUAUAAGACAAAUGUGGAUUUCACACUUUGAAAUCCUGUGCCUAAAGUGACCUUUAGGAAUAGGAAACCUAAUCUUAGGAACAAAAACAAAACUAUUUUUAUAAGUAUUUGUAUGAUUGGUUAUUUGUUCUUGUGAUACAUGUCUGAUUUGGAUCUUUGAUUGAGUGUGAUGAGUUGUGGAGUAAUGUCCACAAUUACAUCUGCAUAUACCUAUAGACAUAAAUAAAAUUCAUAAGAUAACCACACAACUUAGAUUACCCUCCAUUAAAGUGUAUCUAUUCCAUAAAGAUCCCUCUUAUCUAAAAGACUCUCUCUUAUCUUAAUAGAUCCAUCUCAAAAUAUUCUUUCUUACCUUAAUGAUCCAUUCUAUCUUAAAAGAUUCUCUCUUAUCUUGAUAUAUCCAUCUUAUUCCACAAGAUUCUUUCUUAUCGUAAUAGAUUCAUCUCAAAAGAUUUUAUCUUAUCCUAACAGAUCUAACUGACCUUAAAAGAUUCUAUCUUAUCCUUAUGGAUUCAUCUUGCCCCAAGAAGCAUAUUUAUCCCGCACUAGUGUAACAACCAUGAUCUAAUCCAAUGUAAUUAGAUAGUAUCCAGCCUAAUCUAAUUAUACCAAUCUAAUCUAGAUCCCAUCUAAUCUAAUAUGAUCCAAACUAAAGUGAGUCAUCUAACAUGUUAGUUAAUCUUGGUGAAAUAGAUUAGACUCUACUUCUAUAGUCAUGUUUUAACCUAAAGUUGGUGCCCUACACUAACUUGGUCAUAUACAACCAACCUGACCUACAUGUUGGGUUGCAUAACCUGCCUAACCCGACCUAGAAGCAAAACAACAAGACAGAUUCUGUUUAAACUUGUUUAACUCAUAACCACCGACUAACCUAUUUUUGUUUACCUACGAAACUGCCUUAACCACAUAUCUCUAAUUCGGAUAACAACAUCAAGAACAAAGAUCGAAGAGGAUCAACGUCAUCAAGAAAGGAUAAGCACCAACUCAACUCUUCAAAGAUCAAGUUGAAUCGCCAGCGAAAUCAAGAUCCAUAGUUCAGGAUGAAGUCUUUCCUUAUUAUACUCUUCCUUGCCACAACCUAUACUUGCCAUAAUCGUACCUCAUCUGACAUAAUAGAUGGCUAGACAUAUAUAUCCAUACUUUCCAAAUCAUCUACUAGCGAGUAUAUAAAAAAAAACUUGAAACAAAACUUUUGAUUCCUAAACCAAACUGGUUGCAUCCCUUUUCUACUAAUCUCGGGGACGAGAUUAUUUUUAAGGGGGGUAGGAUUUGUAACACCCUAAAAUUCUAUUUUUGGGAUCUAGAGAAAAUUCAUCCUAGGAACUAAAUAAAAAUGUUUUCUAAGAAAAGAUGGGAGAAAAGAAUCAUCAUAAGACUAGAGGUACUUGUUGAAUAAACUAUAUAGAUAAAAUACUUGUAAAGGAAUAUAUCCAACCUAAAGUAAUGUUUAUAUUGAACCUUACUUUUCACAAAAUAUAAGUAUAUAUAUAAUGAAUAUUUUUGUUCUUCUAAACUUCCUAGCUUUGAUCACACAUUCAGGAUUAUUUGUGUAAUCACAUAUGUGAAAAAAAUACAUAGCUAGAAAUACUUGUAAAAUAGAAUAGUAAAUAUAUAUAUAUAUAUACAAAUAUAAUAACCUCUCAUGCUGGUUCUUAUGAUUGUGCAUUUAAUUAAGUUUGAGAUCCAAAACCAAAUUUGAGUGUGGAUUUGAAAAUUAAAAAUGAGAAAUAGAAAUGAAUAAAAGAAAAAAAAAAGAAAACAAUUUUUCCUCCUACUGGGCCGAAUUCCCUCCCCCUCAGCUCAUCCCUCUCACCGCGCGGCCCACUUCACUCUCACCCGCGCGCACCACGCAGCCCAGCUCCUACGCUCGGCGCCGACAUGUGGGCCGAUAGCGUCAGUGGCUGCUACCGUUUUUUUUUUCUCCUCCGUGUGGCUUACCGGCUGGGUGGCUGCCGUGUGGGCCCAUCGCGGCGGUCGUCUUCCUCAAGUCCGAAACCAGGAUAGCUUGGGGGUUGUUAUGAACCACCGCCGGGGAUCACGGGACCCCGAUCCAUCUCGGUGUCCACCCGACCUUCUAUAAAACGGAAGACCGCGACCCUCUUGCCCAUCCCAUCGGCGCCCCGCGAUCGGUGUUGGGGCAUCCAUCCCUGAUUGCACCGCCAUGGACCCAACCACA